rnacentral:rRNA from 1 species
UGGUUAUGCUAGAAAGAGCGCAGGGUGGAUGCCUUGGCACUAAGAGCCGAUGAAAGACGUGAUAAGCUGCGAAAAGCUUCGGGGAGGAGCAAAUAUCCGAUGAUCCGGAGAUAUCUGAAUGGGGAAACCCGGCUGGACAGACUCCAGUCAUCCAUACGCCAAUCCAUAACGUAUGGAAGGGAACCCGGUGAACUGAAACAUCUAAGUAGCCGGAGGAAGAGAAAACAACAAGUGAUUCUGUGAGUAGCGGCGAGCGAAAACGGAAGAGCCCAAACCGGAAUGCGUGCAUUCCGGGGUUCGGACCGCGUAAUUGAUCUGAUAAGUUUAGCAGAAUGGUUUUGGGAAAGCCAGCCAGAGAGGGUGAAAGCCCCGUAAGCGAAAGACGAGUCAGCAAGGCGGGAUCCAGAGUACCACGAGACACGAGAAACCUUGUGGGAA